GACGAACGCUGGCGGCGUGCUUAACACAUGCAAGUCGAACGGGUCUGCCCUGUUUUUUGCGGGGUGGGUCAGUGGCGAACGGGUGAGUAACACGUGAGUAACCUGCCCCUCACUUCUGGAUAACCGCUUGAAAGGGUGGCUAAUACAGGGUGUUCUGGCUGUGCCGCAUGGUGUGGCUGGGCAAGAUUCCCUUUUGUGGUGUUUUGGUGGGGGAUGGGCUGGCGGCCUAUCAGCUUGGUGGCGGGGUGAUGGCCUGCCACGGCGUUGACGGGUAGGCGGCAGGGGAGGGUGGGCGGUCAUGCUGGGACGGAGAUACGGCCAAGACUACUGCGGGAGGCAGCAGUGGGGGGUAUUGCACAAGGGGCGGAAGCCUGAUGCAGCGACGUCGUGUGAGGGAUGGAGGCCUGCGUGUUGUGAACCUCUUUCGCCGGUGAAGAAGGUCCUGCUCUUUGUGGUGGGGUUGACGGUAGCCGGGUUAUGAAGCGCCGGCUAACUACGUG
rnacentral:rRNA from 1 species